CACGUAGGGUGCGAGCGUUGUCCGGAAUUAUUGGGCGUAAAGAGCUCGUAGGCGGUUUGUCACGUCUGCUGUGAAAACUGGAGGCUCAACCUCCAGCCUGCAGUGGGUACGGGCAGACUAGAGUGCGGUAGGGGAGAUUGGAAUUCCUGGUGUAGCGGUGGAAUGCGCAGAUAUCAGGAGGAACACCGAUGGCGAAGGCAGAUCUCUGGGCAUUACCUGACGCUGAGGAGCGAAAGUGUGGGGAGCGAACAGG
rnacentral:rRNA from 1 species